AUGUGUAAAGUGAUCCACUGGGUUUUUUCAAUUCAGAUCCCUUGACAUCACUGUGUCGAUGCAUAUCUUGCAUCUGUCGCUUGAAGACUUCCCAUCUGAUAUUGGGCUUAUCAAAUAAGAGAGCCAAUUUUCUUUUGUCAGGUUUAAUCGUCUUUGCAUGACCUCCAUACAAAUAACGCCUAUGACCCAUCAAAAAGUGGGGAAAAUUUCCACCUUGAGUUGUGACAAAGACUUCACUGUGCAGGCAAACUGUAUAAUCCAGAGCAGCCAACCUAGAUGAGUGGCCCUUAAAUGGAGCAAGUUCUUCUGUAGUAGCUAGUGUAUCUUUUGUUUCUAAUCGCGGAAACAUCCGUUUAAGUGGAGCCAUAAAC
rnacentral:misc_RNA from 1 species